UGAAGGCAAACCCAUCUGUGGCAUUGCUUUUGCUCAAGGACCUGGGUGUGCUUGGUGGGUGAUGCAGAAAGAUGAGGAAGUAAUUUUGGGUGAGAAUAGCCAAUAAAUUAAGUUGUAUGGUGUGAAUUGCUACAUAAUAAUGCAUGUCAUCUCUACUUUGAUUGCUAAAUACCAUAAUAGGAGUAUUACAGUAAGAAUCACCCAGAUAAAUGAAGAAUAACUUUGAUGAAAAUGAGCAAAGUGCAGCGAUGAUGAAACCAGAACUGGCUACAGCAACAAGCGCCCAGCAACUUCCUUGAGAUUGACACCUUUAACCUGCAGGCCAUGAGAUUGGACCAUGCCAGAUACAGCAGCCGUGAGCUCCGGAUGCAGCAUGCAACAAUCCAACAGUACACACCAUCGCUUCUGCCCCGAGAGACUGUUGCGGCAGAUGAAGCCCAAAGUCAUGGAUGAAAUGAACUCGAUGAACAUUUUUGAGGGAUUUAGAGGGAAGGACAUAGACUAAGGGAGUGAUACCGGCAUGUACAGUAAAAAGACUGUACUUUCAAAAGACAGGAAAAGUGAUGGUGAUUAAUUGGAAUGUAUUGGGAAAUAUAAGACCUGGGCAUGACAUAGAUGGUAUGGAUUAAGGCGUGGAUACUGUCCUGGUUUCGACUUAGAGUUAAUUUUCUUUCUAGUAGAUGCUAUAGUGCUGUGUUUUGGAUUUAGUAUGAGAAUAAUGUUGAUAACACUGAUGCUUUUAGUUGUUGCUACGUAGUUUUAGUGCCUACACUAAGUCAAGGACCUUUCAGCUUCUCACGCCUUGCCAGGUGCACAAGAAGCUGGGAGGGGAUGCAGCCAGGACAGCUGACCCAGAUUGGCCAAAGGGAUAUUCCCUAAUAUAUAGCAUCAUGAUUCAUAUAUAACUGGGGAAGCGAGUUGGGCGGUAGAGUCACUGCUUGGAAACAGACUGGGCAUCAGGUUGUUUUAUUUGCCGUUUGCAUGUGGUGAGCAAUUGCAUUUGUGCAUCAGUUGUAUUAUUAGUAGUAGUAGUAGUAUUAUUUUCUCUUCCUUUGUUAUGCUAUUAAACUGUCUUUAUCUCAAGCCAUGAGUUUGUUUUCCCAUUCCCCUCCUCAUCCCCUUGAGGUGGGGGGAGUGAGCGAGUUGCUGCGUGGUGCUUAACUGCCGGCUGGGGCUAAACCACGACAAUGAGAAAAAAGGUACUUCUUAGCUGCAUAAUCCUUCUGUAACUGAUACUUCCGAAUUUCUUCCAGAGUUACUACACUUAACCUGGAAGAUACCUAGUUUAGGCAUAAACAGGGUAAAUUAGAAAAUAACUGUUUCAAAAGAUAUCAGUGACUUGCUUUCCAUGUUAUUGAUUCAUGGGGUUUUUUUCCUCAUUAUAUAACAUGAACAAAAGCUUUAGAGCAAACUGUUCCAGCUGUCUUCUCCUGAAAAGGAAGCAUGGAAAACUAGCACUUUAAAAACCUUUUUUUAUAAAAUCUUUUCUUUUAAAGGCCGUGCUCCUAAAAUCACCAUGCCACCCCCACCUCAGAACAAGAAUGAUGACUUCAGUGAUGACUUCAUUCAUUCAGUGAAGACUUCAUUGCAGACAGAUAAAACAACUUUCACACCUGAAAUAAAAAACACCACAGUGACUCCAAGUGUAACCAAAGAUGUGGCAUUGACAGCAGUUCUGGUUCCAGUGCUGGUGAUGGUCUUCACUACUCUGAUUCUUAUCUUAGUUUGUGCGUGGCAUUGGAGAAACCGUAA